rnacentral:lncRNA from 1 species
GUGACUCCCCCCAUACCCAUGAUGGGCAGUACCUGGAACUGAAUUACAAAGCCCCUGAAGAAAGAAAGAAAGAAAAGACAAUACAGUUUUGAAAAUGGGAAGAAAUGAACUUUGGGGCUGAUUCCAGUUUCUAAGGUGUCCCAUUAAUCAGUUGCAGCACCUGUGUUCCACCUCCGGGUUUAUGGAUAUUUCCUUUCCUAGUCUUUAGACCUUACCUCGCUGUGAUUGUGCCGGGUAAUCUGUUAGGGUAUCCAUUUCCAAGUGAUGCAGCGGCUGUUUUAAAAGAAACAUUUUUAAUAAGAUAAGCAUUUCAUUAGAUGCACACACUUCCCCAUUUCAGCGCCUCAUAGGAGAGAGGCCAGCAUCCAGGCUACUGCCAUUUGCCCAUAAUUCGGCUCAUGGACAGCUCAUCCGGUUCAGAACCACUUAGCUUUGCUUGGCUGUUCCACUGAAGCUAGGCUGUUCAUGAGAAACCCCGCAAUACAAUUGUGGCCCCUCAGGGGACCAUAUACAUUUAUGUAAGUUAUCUCCGCCUGCGCCCUGUGGUGUCAGAACCUCUCAGAUUUGCUAACCAUAAAAAAUCUGCCUUAAGCAUAUUACUAACUUUAAAACCCUAAUGAUAUGGAUGUCAUAUUUCAAUUUUUUAAAAACCUCUCUGUUCUCCACCCCUGGAAAAAGACCCUGUAAAACUUAUCCAAUAGAAUCAUGCUAAGGUUAAAAACACAAUUUAUUUAAAAGAAUGGCAAAUUUACUCUAGUUUAACACACACACACACACACACACACACACACACACACACUUGCUCGUAUGUACCCACAGACUGUUUGGACAAAAUGUAAUAAUUAAAUAAAUAAACAGAAUGCUCUCCAAGCUGCAGUAAGAACUUUAAUAAUAAUAAUAAUAAUAAUAAUAAUAAUAAUAAUAAUAAUAAAUCACUAAUGAAUGCAAAAAUCUAUGUAGUUUCUUUGAAGUUAAGAGAAAACAAUUUCUGUGGAGCUGAGUCUCACCCUGAUUAGUUAAAACGAGCAUGGGGCAGCAGAUCCAGGGGACUUUUUAAAUGGUUCUAGCACAGUUGUUAAUAAGGCCAUACAUGACAUCCACUGGAAACAAUUGUGAGUGAUGGCAGGAACACAUAUUGCAUAUAGACCAUCUGGUUGUGAAAGGCAGAUAGGAAAUUCUGAAACACAGCCCCUCAGCCUGUACCCCCAAGGUUACUCUGUA